UACGUAGGGAGCAAGCGUUGUCCGGAAUCAUUGGGCGUAAAGAGCGUGUAGGCGGCCUGAAAAGUCUGGUGUGAAAUCCCGGGGCUCAACCCCGGACUGUCACUGGAUACUGUCAGGCUUGAGUCUGGAAGAGGAGUGUGGAAUUCCUGGUGUAGCGGUGGAAUGCGCAGAUAUCAGGAGGAACACCAAUGGCGAAGGCAGCACUCUGGUACAUGACUGACGCUGAGACGCGAAAGCGUGGGGAGCAAACAGG
rnacentral:rRNA from 1 species